rnacentral:lncRNA from 1 species
UUGGGUUUUACUCUGAAAUGCUCUUAACAAGGCCCCUGGAGAUGACGCAGCUGACUCGUAGUUGACGGUGCCGCUCAGCGGUCUGCAGCUGGAGGAUUCAGAGCCCCGGUGAGGCCCUGGUGAGCAGACGCGGCAGAGGUGGCAGCCCCGUAGGAUGAAGGCACUGGCGGCUGUCCUGCUGGCUCUGCUGUGGUGCCGGCUGCAAGUGGAGGUUUACAGGUGUCCCUGCGCGGCCAGGGAGAGGGCGGGCGCAGGAGGACGAGGAUGACGACCCGGACGCUGGGCGCGAAGGCUACGACGAUGAGGACGAGGAGGAAGAGGAGGCCGGCGUGCCUGCGGGCAGCAGGGACUCAGGGCCGCAGUGCUACACGUGCCAGUCCCUGCACAAGGGGGAGAGCUGCGAGCAGGUGCAGAGCUGCGUGCUCCCCGGGACAUGCAAAGCCAUCGUCUCCUCCUGGAACACUGAGUCAGGUCCCCAGACCACCUACUCGGGAUGGUGUGCAGACACAUGUCAAGCCAUCAGCAGGACGGUGGACGGAUCUCUGACGACCAUAUCCUGCUGCCAGUCCAGCCUGUGCAACACCCCACCCUGGCAAGACCCCCAGGGGAGGGGGGCAGGCGGCCCCCAGGGGAGCCCUGCGACUGUGGCCGCCACCGUCCUGCUCAGCCUCCUGGCCAGCCUUCAGGAGAUGGGGCUCUGAGUGGGGCGCUCCCUCCUCGCGCCCAGCAUGGCCUGCACCCUGGCUGGCCAGCACUCUGUCCGCUGUCUCCUGUCCCCUCCCCCAGACCAUGGAGAAUAAACUGGAAGCACCUGUGAUGA